rnacentral:lncRNA from 1 species
UUAUGGACUAUUUUGCAUGAUUUGGUUGUAUUGAAUUGUGGAAGGUGGAUAUGGUAAUUGAGUUAUGGAAGGUGGAUAUGGUAAUUGAGUUAUGGAAGGUGGAUAUGGUAAUUGAGUUAUGGAAGGUGGAUAUGGUGAUAUACUAUUGAAUUGAUGAUUAUUUAUGUCUAUGACUCAAUUUGGUUUAAUGGAUUGGUUGGAAGGAUAAAUGAAUCCAAACUUGAUAUUGGAGGAUGUUGUAUGAAUAUGCAUGGCAUGUGAAUGUAAUUGGAGUAUAAGAGGGUUAAAGUGACACCC